GUCACUUUCAGGAAACAAAAAAAAACCUACUAUUGUAAUUUUGUUUUUAUUUCCUGAUAUAUUUUGAAUGAUUAUGUAAAUGAGCAUUGUGGAAUUUUAAAGAGUUUACCAAUAGUUUACGAUUUUAAUGAUUAUAUAGGUUAGCUUCUGUGAAAUGGUAUUUGAUUGCAUGAUCUACGUGGCCAAGACGUAGGCGAAACCUGGCUACCACACCACACACCUGUGAUGCUCGGGCUGUCGCUGGUGAUGCAGCAGUGUGCUGCACAGUUCUGGGAAACCAUGUGUGGCGAGUUUUGUGUGCCACCAGGUGUUUCAGUACUUGUGGAAGUGCCAGCUCCUAGCACCGCCGGUAGCAGUGCUUCUGUGAGCAAGUCCAGGCUGACUCGGCUUUAUACUUAGCGCCACAUUGUCGUAUACCAGGAUGUCGUCCAAUUCAGCUGUCGACUAAUAAGGAGUCAUGUGAGGAAGAGUAAGAUGCAGAAUGUGAGGAAACAGAUGACAGUGAGUUGGAAACUGAACAUCACCAUUUUUGUUUAGGUUUGUCUGCUUCUGGCUCUCCAACAAAAAUAUCCAAAAAGUCAAGUGACUCUCAGAGUGACUGUGCUCUUGGCUGAACACAUGACCUCAGCUACUAGUGUUUCAGAACUAUAGGAGUGACUGCUUAUAUUGACAGCUCUUCCACAGCAUUUGAUUGUUUUCCAAUUUUUCUUUCUGAUUCAAUUAUCAAAAAUGAAAGCUGAAAAAAAAUAGUUAUGCUGCUACUGUUGUCUAUAAACUGAGGCAUACAAAACAGUUGAAAACUAGUUGCCUACUUUCUAAAUGGAAACCAGUAAAAAUAAACUACCUACAUGAAAUUUAUAUAUUUUUUGCAAUUGUUUUUAAGAUGUGUCUAGUGAAGAAGGUGAUAUCAAGCAGUACUGGUGAACUAACGAUUUUUUGACUACCUACUCUUUUCCCAGCAUCUAGAAUGAGUAGAAAUAGUUUUUUUUUUUCAUUCUGUCAAAUUUUCACUUGAAUGAUAAUAAUACUUGCAUAAAAAGGGGACAACAAAAUGUGAUCCUUUGCACAAAAUUCUGCCAUUUUUUGAUUAUCUAGUUGAAAUGUUUUCCCAUUCAUUUGCGCCUUAUCAUAAUCUGACGAUAGAUAAAUGCAUGUGUGGCUUUUGUGUUCGUAUUCACUUUUGUGUUUACAUGAAAAACAAAAAGCAAAAAUAUGGAUUAAAACUUUAUAUAUUUAUGUUAUUAAUCUACCGGUUAUGUACAAAAAGUGGAAAUUUACUGCAGCAAACCAAAUGAGGAUAACAGCAUUUUGUCUUUGGAUAAAAGACUUUUGUCAGAUAAUUUUGACAAAGGUCAUGUGGUCUACGCGGACAGAUUUUAUAGUUCUCUAGCCCUCUUUGGUUUAUUGUGGAGCAAGAAAACUUUAGCUAUACAAACAUAUGUGCUCAACAGAAAACAGCUACCAAAAGAAAAAUUAAAUUAUAGAAUUCAGAGAGACUCAGGGGUUUUCAUGAAGCGUGAGUAUUUAUUAUGUUUGAAGGGGAAAGGUACGAGUGUUGUUCCAACGCUCUGUACUUUGCAUAAUCCUAAAACAUCCUAAGUUGAUUUCAGGUUGAAAAUAAGAAAGUGAAGAUAACAAAACCAUAUGUUAUUUUAGGUUGUAACAUUCAUAAGACAAGUAUCACUUGAAGUGAUUGGAUGAUUUUUUACUGUCCCUUCAACAGAAAAAAGAUGGAAUGGUGGUAAAAGCUAUUUUUUCACAUGCUUCUGAUGGCAGUUACAAAUGUGUUUAUCCUGUACAAGGAAACAAGAAAUGUGAAGAGAAGCAAGACUGCUAUCUCUCAACCUUUAUAAGUGAAGUUGGCGAAGCUUUUGCAACCAAAGGUAGCAUUACAUCUCAAAGUGUAAUUUGCUGAAAUUUUACAAUGAACAGACUGAAAGGGAGACAUUUCCGGGAAAAAUUUCCAGCCACAGAAAAUAAGAUGAAGCCAACACAAGUUUGUAAAGUAUGCUCUGAAAAAAAAAAUUAAAGCAUCUACUGGCAAAACAGGAAGAAAGAAAACAACUUGGUGGUGUUCCAAAUGUGAAGUGCCUCUAUGUUUGCCAGAAUGAUUAUCACAACAAAGCAAAUUAUGCAUAAUUUUUUUCAAGUUUAUGAAAAUAUAAAUAUUCCUGUUUGAAUAAUAAAAAAACUUCUGAG